UAUGACGCUGGCGGCAGGCCUAACACAUGCAAGUCGAGCGAGAAAGCACUUCGGUGCGAGUACAGCGGCGGACGGGUGAGUAACGCGUAGGAAUCUACCUGGUAGUGGGGGACAACAUGUGGAAACGCAUGCUAAUACCGCAUACGCCCUAUGGGGGAAAGUGGGGGACCUUCGGGCCUCACGCUAUCGGAUGAGCCUGCGUAAGAUUAGCUAGUUGGUGGGGUAAAGGCUCACCAAGGCGACGAUCUUUAGCUGGUCUGAGAGGAUGAUCAGCCACACUGGGACUGAGACACGGCCCAGACUCCUACGGGAGGCAGCAGUGGGGAAUAUUGCGCAAUGGAGGCAACUCUGACGCAGCCAUGCCGCGUGUGUGAAGAAGGCCUUAGGGUUGUAAAGCACUUUCAAUUGGGAGGAAAGGUUAUAGGUUAAUAGCCUGUAACUGUGACGUUACCUUUAGAAGAAGCACCGGCUAACUCCGUGCCAGCAGCCGCGGUAAUACGGAGGGUGCGAGCGUUAAUCGGAAUUACUGGGCGUAAAGCGCGCGUAGGCGGUUGAUUAAGUCGGAUGUGAAAGCCCUGGGCUCAACCUGGGAACUGCAUUCGAUACUGGUCAACUAGAGUACGAGAGAGGGAGGUAGAAU
rnacentral:rRNA from 1 species